rnacentral:lncRNA from 1 species
UUUUGCCAUGCGUUUCCGAGCCUGUACUUAUUUUUUGUUCCGGAUGAUGUUUCAGGACUGUUCACGAAUACCACCACCAUCACCACCAUAACAUGGCGCAGUACGGUGGGCUAAUUCUGCCACCAACGACGCGACUGCCACCUCACGUGACGGCGCCUCACCAGUACCACACGAAGCCGGGCGUCGAAGCGUGGACCUCGAGUCAGCACCACCGACUCCAUCACGAUCAGGCCGCCUCCCACCAUAGUCUCGAAGCCGCCACACCUAGUUAUGCCUCCUACCCUUCUAUGGCAGACCAGGGAACCUCGUGGUCGAGAGACGGUGUCUACGGAGUGAUGCCAUCUAGUUUUCAAACAUUUUAGUCAGUUGAUUGAUCAGAACCAGAUUUUAGGUUGAGAAUUCCAAAUUUCGGAACCUGGUUUUGAUAAUGAACCGAAUAACGGUUGUUUACACUUAAGUGAAAAAUCAAUAGAUCGAUUGCAAAAAAAUGUUUCAAUAUCUAGUGAUUCUUUGCUUCGGUGGUAUUCAGUCGUUCUGAAUAAGUUGUUAACUAUUUCAUUCCUAAAGUAAUGAAAAGAGAAUAUUUGUAUUAAACAAUGUUAGUUUUAAAAUUUUUUUCAUUGUAUAAAUUUGUUUAAGUACUUAACAUGCUAGUCAAAAGUUGAUAAAACUUUCCUGUUGUUCUGCAAUAUUGACUGAUUUCUUUAAUGGAGCCAAAGUGAGGCGGUUUUCGAUUCUUGCGAGGAUUCAUGAACCAAGAUAAAGUAUGAUGUACUUGUAAGUCUUUGAGACAUCCGAUUAUUUUUUCCCCCCACUAAAAUUCCUUUUCAACUAAUCAAUCGUCUUUGUCUCCUCGCGUUAGUUGCUUCCUUCACGAUCAUUUGUGUGCAGUUUUAAAAUGCCAAGAAAGAACCCACGAAAAAGGAAAAAGAACUGAAGGAAAAUUUUGUAAUUUUUUUAUUUUCUUUAUUUUAUCCAAAGUCGCAAUGCAAUGUGAUGAACUUCUUUUUGUCGCAUGUUGAGCAUAUCACACAUCUCAAGUAAGCUAUCAGGAGUAAUCUUUUACUCACACUCUUUUUACAUCGUGUUUUCACGCUGAUUAAUUUUCCAUCUAAUAUCAAACCAUAAAGUAAUGUAAGGCAUAAGAGUAUAUAUUUAGUUUCCAGUGCACAAAAUAUAAAUAAAGUAUUUGUUGUUUUUUGGUGAAAACUUGACACAGUGAAUUAUUCUGAAUAGAAGGAAGAGUAAAAUUUUCUUUCCUGAUUGGCGGAUGGCUAAAAUUAUUUUGUUGUUAUUUUUUUCAUCUGUUGAUUUAUAUCGUUUCUUUGUGUUAAAACAGAAUAUUUUUGUUCCUUUUUCCAGUUUAAUAGUCGACUCCAUACUUCGUUCGUCUACGUAUUAAGAUAAAGAAAUCUGUAACCUUUACAUUUUCAAAAACGAUCAAAGUUUUCCCUAUGUGUUUCGUUCCAUUCUCCUUAAUUUGUAAAUAUGAAGCUAUUCUCCUUUUUGUCUUCAAGUUCAUCCUCCCAUCCCAUAUUUCUUUUUCAGUUUUAACCAGGCAGUGUAAAAACUUAUGGUUGUGCAUAUGUACUUAAUUAUAAUUUAAGAUGUCUUUUAUUUUAAUUUUCUCAACUUUUACCUUUUGUUUUGUUAAACGUAAACACCUAAUUUACGUAAUUGCAUCACUCUUUUUUCUCUUUUUUUAAAGACGUCUCAGCCUUUUUUUGUUGUUUCUGGAAACUGUCUAGAAUACUCUUCUUUCUAAAGUGCAAUAAUACUUACAAAACAGCGAUUUGUGACAUCUGGGGUAAUAUCAAUACCCGGUUCUCCAAAUUGUAACAGUAAGUUCAAACUCUAUACGGGAAUCUCUGAGGUGUAGCCACACUAGCCGCACUCUUCAAUUUUCCAUGGAAGUUGUCGUUUUAAGUUUUCGUAAAAAGCAAGACCGUCUGGAGAAAAAUACCUCAUGUAAACAAUAUACUCAUUCAAAACGGGGAAAUUACAAGAUGUAAGGAAGGAUCUUGAUGGAUGGAGAUUUUAUAACGGGCUUUUCUGAAAAAUGGUCCCGAGAAAAGAGCAUAUGUAAAAAAUUACGGAUUCGCUGUAUAUCAUACAUUGAAACAUCGAAAGCAUGCCAUGAUAUACUUAUCACUUCGACUUUUGAGGAAAGAGGAUUUUAGUCAUUAAUGUGUGACAAGUAGUCUCCCUCCAAAAUUGUUUUACGUGCCAAAAGAAUAAGUAAAUUAGUUCUGAAAAGAAAAAUAACGAUAACGAAUCCACUUGGCAAUUAGGUAUUCCGUAGGUUGCGAAAAAAACUCAAUGGGUAUUGUUAAAAAUCUAUGUAUCAUUUGUAGGCCGCGACAUAUUUCAUUCAAUUAGACCCAGCUACCCAUGUUUUACUCAUUCAAUCAUACUUCAAAGUUUCAAAAUAAUGUGGUUUUAAAAUAUACGAACACGUGAUUUUCAUUAAAUAUUAAUAGAUUUUUACAAUUUAAUAACGUGCAUGUUGUAUGACUAAAGUCUCGUCUCGAUAAAAUCCAUAAAAAUAUGUUUGACGACCGCGAAAACUAAUCUUCAUUUAUUCUACGGGCACGGCUCUAAGCACAUGCAUCAUGAUAUGUUGCUCGGGUUAUUCAUACUUGAAGGUGUAAUACAUGCAGUUGUGACAUUAUUCCAUGUGAAUAAUUAUCCAGACCUAUGCUUUUAUUUCUUUCUUUUAUCGUUCAUUUGAUUCUGAAUCGUCUGUUGAGCCGCGUCAAUGUCGGUAUGCCUUUUUAUUCAACCGCGCGCCGAUGCACAUUUGUGCGCGCCCAGUAAAUGUCGUCUUCGAGCAGAAACAUUAUUUUUAUAUCGAACUUCGAUCGAGAUUUAAUCGAUGAAAAAUAUCCACUCAUCCUCUCCCGUUAAGUUUAUGCAGUUCGCUAAUCGUUAACCCGGUUUGAGGUUAUCGAUUAGUCUCAACUGAGUGUCCAACAUUGUAAGCCGAAUAGUUUGCCUUCUGCGAAUCUCAAUCUACAUAUCUUUUUACCGGACGCUUACGACCGUAGUUUUUUGUCUUUCAUCGAAACUUCGAGAGAUCGCCAUUGCGUUAUUCAGUGAAACAUGUCGUUUCUGGAAUGUGAGGGUUGAAUAAAUGUCUCACUACAGACCGCACACUGUGUUGUAAAACCCUCCUCAAUUAUGCAAAAGUGCAUUUUCUUUUGUUUUCUAACUUAUGUUUUUUUUCGCUCCAUUUUUCACAGUGCAAGAAACCCCUCAUGUAGGUCCGUUCAAAUCGUUUUACUUUUUUGCCCUUUGAGCGAAUAUGACGAAAAAAGAAAGGAAUAAAAGGAGGGUGGCCUAGACCCCGCUGAUUUGUAGCGUUUGGAGAAACAUUUUCAUUGCUCUUGUAAUUAAAGUAUUACAUUUGGACGAUUACAACAACCAGCGCCCUCAGUGCGUAGCUAGGAAUAUGUAAAUGGGUGAAGAGUCUCACGUCAAAGGUUUCUGAAAAUUAAGGGUUUAAAAAUUGAAAAUAAUAUUAUAGCACCAAAUGAAAUACCUUUUUGGGGAUAUUUUGAAUUCAGUGUAUCCCCUUUGACCCCCUCUUUCUCCGCAUCUUUAUUGUUUGUAACGUCUUUAGACUGUGUCGUCUUGAACUGCCGUGGCUCCUGUCAAUUUCAACAAAAUUAACACACAUUUAAACAAUCAUGCAAAUUUAUUUGCGUAUUUUCUUUCUUGAAACCAUAUCAAACGAGAUCGCCAAAUCACUAUAGAAUUAUAUUUAAAUGAAGUAAAUUCUGUGUUUCAUGAAUUUACGGGGAAAAUCCCUCUGAUUUUUUGCUAUGCAAUCCUCCAUGAAAUCUCUUUUUGCUAUACUUUCUCUUCCUCACAUGGUUCGGCAAGUUCUGUUCAGCUCUAUUGUUUUCACUGAAACAGGAAAGCUAAAGUGUUUGCAGCCUCGUUAGAGCCGAGUUUGUACAUAACCUUCUUUUAAAUUUUAUUUCGGAGGAAUCUUUAUCUGAUGAAAUGCCUUUGAAAAACAUGUGAAACAUAUAAGUAAAUACUGAAUAGAUCAAAGUUAGAAUUUAGUAAUGUGAUAUUAUAUUAAUUAUUCAUUACGGUGCCCAUUUAAUUUUUCUUUUUGAAUUUUGAUGUUUUAUUUCUCGUCAACUUCAGUGUAUCCAAUGAUUUAAAAUCGGACUAAUGAAAUAAAGAAAAAUGCGCAACUCAG